AAACAAGGGACGGACUUUUCCGAACAACCUACCGACCACAUUUUGCGCAGCAUCCAACAGCUCGAAAUCCGACUGAUAACUUUGAAAUACAUCGUCAGCCCUAGUGGGGAAGGCCAAUCCGAAGAGUUCCAGGCGAAUUCUUCCACAGAAUGGCGUGAAAAAGAGUUAAGUUGGUCGAUAACUUGCCACGUUGGCGUUAUGGUAGCCCAUAAGUUCAUGAUAAAUGUCCAAAAACGGGAAGUAAAAUCCGCCAUAAAGAUGCUCUUUUGCUUUGCUAGACGGCCUCGGACAAUUGAGAAUUAAUGUCCGAAUUCCCGACUCGUUUACACUAAGUUUUCAUUUGAUUUAUUUUCUUCUUCUUAGUUCUUUGUCCAGUGAAAAUCAAGAAUUCGAAACGCAGACCACCCGUGGC
rnacentral:sRNA from 2 species